AACACACCGUACAAGCAGACAUGGUCUCGCGCCUGCGCAGAAAGAGCAAGCGAAAGCCGGACAGCGGCAGGCUCAACUCGUUAACUCGGUAUUGGUAGGCAAUGAAGGCGGGCGCAGGGUACACACAGAGCGCCGCGAUUGGCUUAGCGGGGAGCUUGGAAGUUGCGUCAGAGGGUAGUGAGGACCAUAGAGCUGGAUGAAGACAGGAAGAAGCGACACUCUCUAGUUCUUGGCUUGGUUUAAUAAGAAUUCGGUUAGAGGAGGGAAUGCGCGACGUAUCCCAGGAGGACGGAGUCCAGGUGCGCUCGCGAACACCUAAGCGCUGGCUUUGGGUAUGGAGGAGGAGGAAGAGCAUGAGGGAGUGAUGGAGAUGGCAGUUGGGAUUAAUUUACCUUUACUGCGACCUGAAGUGUGUUGGGUUUCUCUUGCUGUGCUUCUUUCAACGUGCCUGCGUGAGGAUUUCAGGGGAUAAAGCGCAUGCUGACGCUGCCUUUGAAGAUUUCUGGGUACAUUUUUAUCCUGUUUAAGUUUCAAGAGCUAAUAGCUGGUGCUUCGGUUAUCAGUCCAUAAGAAUUGUUAACAUUUCCAGCUCUUCAACCAUAUUUUUGAAAUUCUCCCAGUACACAAAGCAUUACAUUGAUGCUUGAGCCUUGGUAGGGCAAAGCCAGACAUGCCAGACAGCAUCUCCUGGGUGUUUUCGAGAUGACACACUGGAAUGUACUCACACCACAUCCACUAAGUUGUCCUCCAGAUUGCCUGUGUUUCCCACAUCAGUGUCGCUGCGU